rnacentral:rRNA from 1 species
GAUGAACGCUGGCGGCGUGCUUAACACAUGCAAGUCGAGCGAAGCGCUUUUGCGGAUUUCUUCGGAUUGAAGCAAUUGUGACUGAGCGGCGGACGGGUGAGUAACGCGUGGGUAACCUGCCUCAUACAGGGGGAUAACAGUUGGAAACGGCUGCUAAUACCGCAUAAGCGCACAGUACCGCAUGGUACCGUGUGAAAAACUCCGGUGGUAUGAGAUGGACCCGCGUCUGAUUAGCUAGUUGGUGGGGUAACGGCCUACCAAGGCGACGAUCAGUAGCCGACCUGAGAGGGUGACCGGCCACAUUGGGACUGAGACACGGCCCAAACUCCUACGGGAGGCAGCAGUGGGGAAUAUUGCACAAUGGGGGAAACCCCGAUGCAGCGACGCCGCGUGAGCGAUGAAGUAUUUCGGUAUGUAAAGCUCUAUCAGCAGGGAAGAAAAUGACGG